CUGUGGCUAGGGGUGAAAGGCCAAUCAAACUCGGAAAUAGCUGGUUCUCCGCGAAAGCUAUUUAGGUAGCGCCUCGGACGAAUACCGCGGGGGGUAGAGCACUGGAUGGGCUAGGGGGUCCCAAAGACCUACCAAACCUAACCAAACUCCGAAUACCCGUGAGUACUAUCCGGGAGACAGACAUCGGGUGCUAACGUCCGGUGUCGAGAGGGAAACAGCCCAGACCGCCAGCUAAGGUCCCCAAGUGGUGGCUAAGUGGGAAAGGAUGUGGGAAGGCCAAGACAGCCAGGAGGUUGGCUUAGAAGCAGCCAUCCUUUAAAGAAAGCGUAAUAGCUCACUGGUCUAACAGCAAUCCUGCGCCGAAAAUGUACCGGGGCUCAAGCCACCCACCGAAGCUGCGGACUAGAGCAAUCUAGUGGUAGCGGAGCGUUCCGUAAGCCUGCGAAGGCGUCAUCGUGAGAGGCGCUGGAGGUAUCGGAAGUGAGAAUGCUGACAUGAGUAGCGACAAAGAGUGUGAGAAACACUCUCGCCGAAAGUCCAAGGGUUCCUGCGCAAGGCUAAUCCGCGCAGGGUGAGCCGGCCCCUAAGGCGAGGCCGAAAGGCGUAGUCGAUGGGAACCACGUUAAUAUUCGUGGGCCUGCUGGAAGUGACGGAUCGCGUGUGUCGUCAGUCCUUAUUGGAUUGGUCUGGCGGCGAAGCGGUCCCAGGAAAUAGCUCCCGCGUAUAGACCGUACCCUAAACCGACACAGGUGGACUGGUAGAGUAUACCAAGGCGCUUGAGAGAAGUAUCCUGAAGGAACUCGGCAAAUUGCCUCCGUACCUUCGGAAGAAGGAGGCCCUCAUUUUGCGCAAGCAGAUUGAGGGGGCACAGGCCAGGGGGUAGCGACUGUUUAGCAAAAACACAGGACUCUGCUAAGUCGGCUUCAAGACGACGUAUAGGGUCUGACGCCUGCCCGGUGCCGGAAGGUUAAGAGGAGGAGUGCAAGCUCCGAAUUGAAGCCCCGGUAAACGGCGGCCGUAACUAUAACGGUCCUAAGGUAGCGAAAUUCCUUGUCGGGUAAGUUCCGACCUGCACGAAUGGCGUAACGACUUCCCCACUGUCUCCAGGAUAUGCUCAGCGAAAUUGAAUUCUCCGUGAAGAUGCGGAGUACCCGCGGUUAGACGGAAAGACCCCGUGCACCUUUACUGCAGCUUCAGAGUGGCAUUAGGAAAGAACUGUGUAGCAUAGGUGGGAGGCUUUGAAGCCGGGACGCCAGUCCUGGUGGAGCCAUAGGUGAAAUACCACCCUGUUGUUUUCUGAUGUCUAACCUCGCACCGUUAUCCGGUGCAGGGACCCUCUGUGGCGGGUAGUUUGACUGGGGCGGUCGCCUCCUAAAGAGUAACGGAGGCGCGCGAUGGU
rnacentral:rRNA from 1 species